UCCCUGAGAGUUGUCCCUAAGGAUAACUUGUUAGUUCUCCUUGGCCGGCAAUUAUUUCAAUAAUCGUUUUUUGCAUCUGAAAGACUGAAACUACCUACAUAAUUGCUUGGAUUGGAAAACUUUUAGGUUACGUCUUUGCAGUUCACCACCUGACAGGACGCCAUGCCCCUCUAGAAUGAGUGCAUUAGAGCAGUCGAUUCGCAGAUAUGCAGAUGAGCCUACUAAAAGUGUAAUAAGACCAGAACUAGGCUUGAGUUUGGAUUCACUUGGCGAGACGUACGACUUUUACAACUUGUAUUUCUGCUAGAUUGGAUUCAAUCAGGUAUGGCAAGAACAGAUGGGACGCCGACAGGACCAAAUCAAUGCAAGAGCAUUUGCGGCUGCUCGGGGAAGCCAGAGCAGAUUGUGUUGCGAGUACCCUGCGUUGAUGAGGCUCCUGUGUGUGUCCGAAUGCACUACUGGUUCUUCAGGGAUGUGGUAACAUUCGACAUGUCAUACUAACAAUCAUUUUCAAAGCAUUAUAUGACUGGUGUGCUGAUGCAAGAUGAGCGACUAGAGAGCUUCGAAAAUGUGUUUUCGCAGAGUUUCUCCGGAUGAUGGGAGGCCCGACCCCUAAGAAUCCUCACAGAGCAGAACAGAGCUAAGGAUGCAAGAGACAUACUGCCCGGGCACCGCGUUCAGUACCAGUAGGAUGGUACGGUUAAUAUGUCUUUCACAUGCAGGCAUUCGAUGCUAUACUUGUAGGCUAUGGAUGUCAUG